GAUGAACGCUGGCGGCGUGCCUAAUACAUGCCAGUCGAGCGAACGGACGAGAAGCUUGCUUCUCUGAUGUUAGCGGCGGACGGGUGAGUAACACGUGGAUAACCUACCUAUAAGACUGGGAUAACUUCGGGAAACCGGAGCUAAUACCGGAUAAUAUUUUGAACCGCAUGGUUCAAAAGUGAAAGACGGUCUUGCUGUCACUUAUAGAUGGAUCCGCGCUGCAUUAGCUAGUUGGUAAGGUAACGGCUUACCAAGGCAACGAUGCAUAGCCGACCUGAGAGUGUGAUCGGCCACACUGGAACUGAGACACGGUCCAGACUCCUACGGGAGGCAGCAGUAGGGAAUCUUCCGCAAUGGGCGAAAGCCUGACGGAGCAACGCCGCGUGAGUGAUGAAGGUCUUCGGAUCGUAAAACUCUGUUAUUAGGGAAGAACAUAUGUGUAAGUAACUGUGCACAUCUUGACGGUACCUAAUCAGAAAGCCACGGCUAACUACGUG
rnacentral:rRNA from 1 species